AGUGAACUGUAUACAAAUGUCUGUCCUCGUCCACUGAAUUUCAUACAAAUGUCUAUUCUAUCAGUUGACUGGGAAGCCGAGAGAAGAUCAGACAACAUUAAGUACAAACUAAAGAAGAAGAAUAAACUACCACAAGUUAUAGGCUGGAAGAAAGGUUUAGUUAACGGUAAUCCAAUCCACCAGUAGAUUGAAGCCUGUGUGGAAGUCGUUUAAUAUGUUAACUAGCCAGGGAUGUAAAGACACAGUGUAGUCUUAUAUGAGGGUUGAAGAGAUGGUGAAGUUCAAUUAGGUACAUUAUUUCGACAGAGCUAUUUAUGAUAAGUUAAACGUUGAAAAAAUGAAACAGACAUGAUGUUCAUCAUGUAGAUAAUAUGAGAUAUACUCAGUAUAUACUCCAGGGUUUUAAUAAACGGCCGAAUAAGUUCAUCAGGAUUUUCCGAGCAUGGUUCCUCCUUGUCAGUGGUGCAGGACUGUAGUCACACAAAUCAGUAUUAAUUUUACGACAUUAAAGUUUA